rfam:Schistosoma margrebowiei strain Zambia genome assembly, scaffold: SMRZ_contig0004337
GUACUGCUGAGGAGUCCAAUAAUAGGACGAAACGGUCUUUCAGUGC